rnacentral:rRNA from 1 species
UACGUAGGGUGCGAGCGUUGUCCGGAAUUAUUGGGCGUAAAGGGCUCGUAGGCGGUUUGUUGCGUCUAUCGUGAAAACCUGCAGCUUAACUGUGGGCUUGCGGUGGAUACGGGCAGACUUGAGUUCGGUAGGGGAGACUGGAAUUCCUGGUGUAGCGGUGAAAUGCGCAGAUAUCAGGAGGAACACCGGUGGCGAAGGCGCUCUACUGGGCCAUAACUGACACUGAUGGACGAAAGCUAGGGGAGCGAAAGGG